UGGGAGUUCCCCGCCUCUUCUCACACAUGUCCUCCCCAAAUCUACUCCAGAACAGAUUUGGGAGAUGUUGGGGUGAAAGCCCCAUCACACUAGUAGUGCAACUCCUUUCACUGACCGGAUGGUUAUUCAGCGUUGUACUGGAUGCAAGGCAUAGCCUUACAGUGCCUGAAUAUGAAGGUCAGCUGUCACAUUCUGUCUUCUACAGUAAGUAAUUCAGAGUGGAUUUGCGUGUUGAUUACAGGAUCCCUUUUUUACAUUCUUUUUUUUUUUAAAGAUAUUUAUUGAGUUUUUCAAAAUGUUACAAAGGAGAAAAAAAAUAAAAUAGAAGCAGAAAAAAGUACAAAAAAUAAAAAUAAUUGACAAAAUAGAAAAAAAGGGGAAAAAAACCAACCCCUUCCCACCAUAUAAGAAAAAAAUUCCAAAUGAGAAAAAAUAACAGAAAAAAAGAAGAAUGCAAAAAUCACAAAACUUUAAAAACAUUUUUUAAAAAAUUCAUUAUUUUCAAAUCCUUAGCUGUCAUUACCUUCUUUCUUAGACCUCCUCCUCCUCCCUUUCUUUGUAUCCUAGUUAUUAAGUAUCCCAGCAAAUCCUUGACCUUAUCUUCCUAUAAUAAAAUAAACCUUAACACUUAAAACUUAAAUCUUAUCCUUACCAACUUCUCAUAAUCAUAAUAUUCUUUCAUAAUUCUUUAAACAUCUUUGCUAAAGCCAAGUAAUUUCAUUCCAACAUUUUUCUAUCAUUCAUCAAUUUUAUAAAACAGUUCUAAUGGUAGAAAAAAGAGGUAUAAACAAAUCCAAUCUUCAUCCAGCGUCCCUUCCUCCUGGUUCCGGGUUUUGUCAGUCCUUAUUCCCAUCAAUCUAGCCCAUUAACCUGGCAACCUUAUGUCCGAGGCCCUCAAGUCUCUUCCAUGACCCUUCCGCGGCUCUUCUUCAUAUUUGUAACUGUAUUUUCCCUUGUCUCCUGCUCGUGGUAACUCCAGCUUGACAAUGUUUUUAACCCUUCUCAACAGAUCAGCCCCUUUUCCAUGUUCAACAAUGAAUUCCAUGUAGUAUUUAAAGGCAUGUUUCAAAGGCCCUCCAAAAUUGAGAGCCCCCACAGUCCCAAACAACUCACGGCCCGUUGCCAUAUUUGAAAAGUCCAAACAUCCCAGCAUAGGGGGGUCAAUCCAGCCCCCCAUUUCCAAACCAAGCCAAACUUUUCCUUUCCAGAUAUGGCUUUUUCAAAGUUCAUUUGUCAAAUCCAAAAAUCAUAUUCCUGUUGGGCCUGUUCUGUCAAAACACACUCCUGAUUUAAUGUCAAAAACUCCUGUUCUGUCAAGACACACUCCUGAUUUAAAUCCUGAGUGGGCUCCACAUAUUUUCCCACUGUCUGUUCAAAGUUUCCCACUGCCUGUUCAAAAUUUCUAGUCGAAGUCGCCAUCCAAUUCACCUUCUUGUGUAAUUGUUCCAGUAGAUCGUUUGUUUUAUAGAGAGCAUACAACAAGGCUUCUGAAUACAUUGUCCUACAAGGUCAGAUACUUGUUCCCACGGUUGUAAUCUGUAACAGCUGUCGACUCCCUGGAGUUAGUUACAGUUUCACAGUUACAAUUUCACAGACUCCCCCUAGGGGGGAAACUUCUAUUUAUUCUUGCAACAAAGUUUCCUUUUUUAAGAUACUUUGUCCAUAUAUAAUCCUUUAAAAUGCGAAAGGGAACAGUGGAAUCACUAGGUUUCUCUUCUUUCAGCCAUCUGUCAAAAACACUUGUCUUUGGUUAAUGAACUUCACACGUCAGUCCUGACAGCCCGCUCCAGGAUCAGGACGGAGGAAAGUUACUUCACUUUUAAGUCACUUUAAACAGUCCAAAAAGAUCCCCCCCUUCUCCUGCUGUCAAAGGGGGGUUCCACAAUUUUAAAUGGUGAAAUCCAAUCUUUUAAAAGUGAUUUUCUGAGCUCUAGUUUAAAUUGCCUUUGCUUUAUUCUGUUUACAAAAGAACGGAAGAAUGACUUCCUGUUUAGACCUUCCCGUUCCGUACCAAAUUCAAAUAAAUUUUUAAAGUCCGAUUCUUUCCUACUCGCAAGUCCUUAUUUGAUGUCCAAUUGUUCAAAGUCUAAGUACUCACAGGUGCUUAUUUUAAAGUCCAAAUUGUCCCAGGAAAAAGGCAGCGCUCUCCGGCAACAGCUAUGCGGCUUCGCUCCACAGAAAUAGCAGUUGACUCACAGCACCGCGCCACUUCCCCCUCUUCACUUCGGAGCCCAUUAGUGGGUUCCUUAGCGGGUUGGGGGGCGCUAAAGGUGCCUGCUGAGUCCCAUGGUCACAGGCUUCAUCCGUCUGUGAUUUUUAAGUGGGUCCCCGCUUCGCCGUAGCGGAGAAGACCCGUUUUCCGUGGAGCUAGUCCCUCCAGUUCAGAGGGAGUCCGCCAUUGCCGGUGGCGCCACCCCGGAAGUCUCCCUUUUUUACAUUCUUAUCACAAUAGUCAGUCAGUAAAAGAUAUUUUGUUAUAAUAAUAAAUAAAUUAUAAAAGUUUUCCUGAAGGUAGUUAGAAAAUUGCCCAGCAUCUGGGAUUUACUUAUCACUGUCUGGGCCACAGCUGAGGUGUCCCUUAAGGACACAACAGGGUAACUUGCAUUAAGGAUCCGUGUGGCGCACAGUCCAGAAACCUGUGGCUUGGAUUAUAAUGCGGCCAAAGUGGGGAGAAUUCAGAAAUGAGGCAUUAGGAAAGCAUGCUUUCCUCUUCAAAUUAAAACAAAAACAUCCUUACAAGUCAAAUCCUUGUUUUUAGACUUUCUCUCUUAGCUGGGGAUGGGUGAGUCUGUCCAUUUAGGUUUCUCUCAGUUUCUCGUUUUUCUAAUUUUAAAUUCAGCUUUCCACAUUUCCGUAAGAGUUUGUGGGAUUUGAAGCAUCUCAUUUAAAUGGCUAAUCAGGAUUUCUUUAAGAACUCCAAGAAAGGAGAUGUUAUAACUUCUGCAGGCAGGUUGCUGUCACUGUAAUCCCAGAAUAUCCACAACAGGUCAGCCUCUCCAACCAAUUCAGAUCUUGGUCUGCCACAAGCAAAGAACAGUUGCACCAGAGUAAAGCAAGACCCCCAGAGAGUCCAGGCAAAAGCAUGUGAAACUGUGGCCACUUGGGCAUUGGCCUAUG